GAUGAACGCUAGCGGCAGGCUUAAUACAUGCAAGUCGUGGGGCAGCAGGACUGUAGCAAUACAGUUGCUGGCGACCGGCACACGGGUGCGGAACACGUACGCAACUUACCCUGAACUGGGGGAUAGCCCGGGGAAACCCGGAUUAAUACCCCGUAAUAUAAUGGAGUGGCAUCACUUUAUUAUUAAAGCUCCGGCGGUUCGGGAUUGGCGUGCGGCUGAUUAGGUAGUUGGUUGAGGUAACGGCUCACCAAGCCUACGAUCAGUAACUGGUGUGAGAGGACGACCAGUCAAACGGGCACUGAGACACGGGCCCGACUCCUACGGGAGGCAGCAGUAAGGAAUAUUGGGCAAUGGAGGCAACUCUGACCCAGCCAUGCCGCGUGGAGGAGGAAGGCCCUCUGGGUUGUAAACUUCUUUUAUAGGGGAAGAAACCUGUGUAUUCUUACGCAGUUGACGGUACCCUAGGAAUAAGCACCGGCUAACUCAGUG
rnacentral:rRNA from 1 species